rnacentral:rRNA from 1 species
GUCUCUGGUGAUCCUGCCGGGACCCGACUGCUAUCAGAGUGGGACUAAGCCAUGCGAGUUGACGUAGUAAUACGUAGCGAACGGCUCAGUAACACGUAGUCAACAUGCCCAGGGGACGUGGAUAACCUCGGGAAACUGAGAAUAAACCGCGAUAGGUCACAAUUUCUGGAAUGGAUUUUGGCUUAAAUCUACAUGGCCCCUGGAUUGGACUGCGGCCGAUCAGGCUGUUGGUGAGGUAAUGGCCCACCAAACCUGUAACCGGCACGGGCUCUGAGAGGAGGAGCCCGGAGAUGGGCACUGAGACAAGGGCCCAGGCCCUAUGGGGCGCAGCAGGCGCGAAACCUCUGCAAUGGGCGAAAGCCUGACAGGGUUACUCUGAGUGAUUUCCGCUAAGGGGAUCUUUUGACACCUCUAAAAAUGGUGCAGAAUAAGGGGUGGGCAAGUCUGGUGUCAGCCGCCGCGGUAAUACCAGCACCCCGAGUGGUCGGGACGAUUAUUGGGCCUAAAGCAUCCGUAGCCGGUUGUGCAAGUCCUCCGUUAAAUCCAGCCGCUCAACGGAUGGGCUGCGGAGGAUACUACAGGACUAGGAGGCGGGAGAGGCAAGCGGUACUUAGUGGGUAGGGGUAAAAUCCUUUGAUCCAUUGAAGACCACCAGUGGCGAAGGCGGCUUGCCAGAACGCGCUCGACGGUGAGGGAUGAAAGCUGGGGGAGCAAACCGGAUUAGAUACCCGGGUAGUCCCAGCUGUAAACGAUGCAGACUCGGUGAUGGGCUAGCCUCGUGUCAGCCCAGUGCCGCAGGGAAGCCGUUAAGUCUGCCGCCUGGGGAGUACGGUCGCAAGACUGAAACUUAAAGGAAUUGGCGGGGGAGCACCACAAGGGGUGAAAGCCUGCGUUUCAUUGGAGU